rnacentral:rRNA from 1 species
GAUGAACGCUGGCGGCGUGCCUAAUACAUGCAAGUCGAGCGAACAGACGAGGAGCUUGCUCCUCUGACGUUAGCGGCGGACGGGUGAGUAACACGUGGAUAACCUACCUAUAAGACUGGGAUAACUUCGGGAAACCGGAGCUAAUACCGGAUAAUAUAUUGAACCGCAUGGUUCAAUAGUGAAAGACGGUUUUGCUGUCACUUAUAGAUGGAUCCGCGCCGCAUUAGCUAGUUGGUAAGGUAACGGCUUACCAAGGCAACGAUGCGUAGCCGACCUGAGAGGGUGAUCGGCCACACUGGAACUGAGACACGGUCCAGACUCCUACGGGAGGCAGCAGUAGGGAAUCUUCCGCAAUGGGCGAAAGCUUGACGGAGCAACGCAGCGUGGGUGAUGAAGGUCUUCGGAUCGUAAAACUCUGUUAUUAGGGAAGAACAAAUGUGUAAGUAACUAUGCACGUCUUGACGGUACCUAAUCAGAAAGCCACGGCUAACUACGUG